UACGUAGGGUGCGAGCGUUGUCCGGAAUUAUUGGGCGUAAAGAGCUUGUAGGCGGUUUGUCGCGUCUGCCGUGAAAAUCCGGGGCUCAACCCCGGACUCGCGGUGGGUACGGGCAGACUAGAGUGUGGUAGGGGAGACUGGAAUUCCUGGUGUAGCGGUGAAAUGCGCAGAUAUCAGGAGGAACACCGGUGGCGAAGGCGGGACUCUGGGCCGAUACUGACGCUGAGGAGCGAAAGCGUGGGGAGCGAACAGG
rnacentral:rRNA from 1 species